ensembl:lncRNA
GUGAAGUUGACUUGCUGAAGUUCAAACCGAGCAUCAGAAUGGGGAAGAAAGGGGAUUUAAGUGACUUUGAAUGUGGAAUGGUUGUUGGUGCCAGACGGGUUGGUCUGAAUAUUUCAAAAACUGCUGAUCUACUGGGAUUUUAAUGCUCAACCAUUUCUAGGGUUAACAGAGAAUGUUCCGAAAAAGAGAAAAUAUCCAGUGAGUGGCAGUUGUGUGGACGAAAAUGCCUUGUUGAUGUCAGAGGUCAGAGGAGAAUGGGCAGACUGGUUAGAGAUGAUAGAAAGGCAACAGUAACUCAGAUAACCACUCAUUACAACCAAGGUAUGCAGAAUACCAUCUCUGAAUGCACAACACAUCGAACCCUGAAGCAGAUGGGCUACAGGAGCAAAAGACAACACCAGGUGCCGCUCCUGUCAGCUAAUAACAGGAAACGGAGGCUACAAUUUGCACAGGCUCACCAAAAUUGGACAAUAGAAAACUUGAAAAAGUUGGUCUGAUAAGUCUCGAUUUCCGCCUGCUACAUUCAGACAGUAGGGUCAGAAUUUGGUGUAAAGAACAUCAUAAAAGCAUGGAUCCAUAGUUGACACCUACUCGCAUUCAAAGAUGGCGGCUUGUUUAUAGACGUGUGUUUGUUGCAGUUUUUUCUUAUUUGUUUUAUUCCUAAACAAACAGCCCAACAAUUAUUUCUUAUUGUGUUAUUUAAGAUCAAGUUCAGUGCAUCUUAUUAUUUUAAUAUUUUAAACAUGAGACUAUUUAUACAAACAUCUUAUUUAUACUGCGCCCUGUUACUGGGAAUUUUCGCGACUGGUGCGUUUGAUAAGGAGGACUGCCUCAGAUACAAUGCCGAGAACAGCCGUGAGGAAGCGGCUGUCUGGACGGAUGCGACGGGUCUUUUCGGCGAAAACGAGAGGAGAAAUUGGGAGGCAGUGACGCUCGGGCUGUGGACACAGAGGCCGGCUCGGUUUACUGGGACGGCUGCGGGUUUGCUUAAGGACCAGGCGCAUGACACUCAUCUUCUUUGGAGAGAACUUGUUUCUGAACUGCAGGCCUCCUCACGAUUGACUUCGCGAGGUCUACGGUGCCUGUGGUCACAAGGAAACGGGAGUCUUUCACCCUACGUGUCGUCGGCUGUUCGGAAAGAGUCUUCAGUCAACGUAGAAAGGAAAACAUUGUUAGUUUUCCUCCUGCUUUUAUUAUCAGGAAACGUCCACCCAAAUCCAGGUCCUGAGGUAAUCCAACUUCAAACACCCGAUGAAUCUAAAUCUGCAAAAGGAUUGAGGUUUGUGCAUCUGAAUGUGCGGAGUUUGGUCAAUAAAAUUGACUUCUUACGAAUAUGGGCGGAUGUGACUGAUGCAGAUGUAUUGGUUUUUACAGAGACAUGGUUAAAAGCAUCAGUUAUAAAUGAUAUGAUAAAAAUUGAUGAAUAUAAUAUUUUUAGGUGUGAUCGCACUAAAAAGGGGGGAGGAGUCGCAAUUUAUAUAAAAAGUAAUUUAAAUUGUUCCUGCAUACAGUCGAUCAGCAAACCAAAUGGUUUUGAUCUAAUUGCCCUAAGAUUAACUGUAUCGGUAGGAUCUGAUAUUAUAGUUGCUGGAUGCUAUCGUCCGCCUUCUUCAUCUUCGAGUGAAAUAUGUACUUUACUUGCGGAGUCUUUCUCUGAAUGGAACAAACAUGAACUUAUAAUACUUGGCGAUUUUAAUUGGGACUGGCUUUCGCCAUCGUCAGACCCAUUUAAAGAGAUUUGUGAUUCUCUCUGCCUAGUUCAACUGAUUACUUCAGUAACUCGAGUCAAUCAAAAGGACCUGGGUAAAUCAACUCUAUUGGACUUAAUUUUAACAAAUGCAUCCCAUAUGUUUACUGCAGUUGGUGUUUUUUGUAAUGACAUAAGUGAUCAUUGUGCUGUUGCAUGUGUGAGAAACUGUAAGACUUCAAAGAUGCCUCCACGUUUUAUUUACAAAAGAAUAUUUAAACAUUUUAAUGAACAGGCUUUUAUGCAUGAUUUAUAUAAUAUUGAUUUAGGUGUUAUUUCAUAUAUGCCAGAUAUCAACCUAGCUUGGGAUUAUUUUAAAAAGGUUUUUCUAACAAUAUGUGACAAGCAUGCUCCACUUAAACGUUUAAGGAUAAGUGGCAAAGACAACCCCUGGUUUAAUGAUACUCUCUCUACACUUAUCAGACAGAGAAAUGCUGCUUGGGCGAAGGCAAAAUGUGCAAAACGUGAUUAUUAUCUCUCUAUGGUAAAUGAAAAUUUAAAUAAUCCUACUAAAUUCUGGAAGCUAGUAAAAUCUACUUCAGGAACGAGUUUAUCAACUAAAAUUCCAGAUCACUUAAUUGUUAAUCAAAAUAUUGUUAGAGGUAGAGCGAAUAUUGCUGAAUCUUUUAAUAUUUUUUUUACUGCAGGCUCAAGUUAUGAGUCUGAUUUAGGUGUCUCUACAGAAUUAGUUGUCUCUGAUAAACAUUGUCCCAGGCAGGUGUUUAAUUUCUCUCCUUUUACAACAUCCCAGGUUUAUAAUGCUUUAGUGAAACUCGAUGUCAAAAAAUCUGCAGGGGUGGAUAAAAUUGAGCCUUAUUUUUUAAAAAUAGCUGCUGGUAUUUUAGCAGAGCCAAUUGCUUCUAUUUUUAAUUUAAGUUUAAUUUCAAAUAUUAUUCCGAGAGCGUGGAAGUCGGCAACAGUUAUUCCCUUAUUUAAAAAGUGGAGAUCCUUCAGAUCCUAACAACUACCGUCCUAUUUCUAGAUUACCAGUCUUAGCUAAAUUAUUUGAAUCAUUGCUAAACGAUCAAUUAAAACAAUUUUUAACAGAUAAUAAUGUUCUUAACGAUUACCAGUCAGGCUUUAGAGCAGGUCAUAGUACCCUAACUGCAGCUUUAUUAGUUACAAAUGACCUUAUAAACUCUUUAGAUUGUAAAAAGUCCUGAGCCGCAUUAUUCGUCGACCUUUCAAAAGCCUUCGACUCUGUUGAUCAUAAUUUAUUAUUACAGAAACUUAGAUCUAUAGGUAUUAGUGAAGCUGCUAUGAAAUGGUUUGAUAAUUAUCUAUCAGAACGAACUCAAUGUGUGAAUAUAGAAAAUUAUAAUUCUCCUUUUCUUCAAGUUAAAAAAGGAGUUCCACAAGGAUCUAUUUUAUCUCCUAUCCUAUUUUCUAUUUUUAUAAAUGAUUUGGAUUCAGGAGUAGAUUCUGCUAAUGUGCAUCUAUAUGCUGAUGACUCAAUUAUUUAUACAGCAGCAGCAUCUAUAAAUCAAGCUCUGAUGAAUUUACAAAAAGCAUUUAAUACUAUACAAUAUACGUUGGAUAAAUUAAAAUUAGUUUUAAAUUCAAAGAAGACAAAAUAUAUGAUUUUUAACCGCACUCACCGUAAGGAUACAGACAUAACAAUAUCAACUUUAUGUGGUUCAGAAAUUGAAAGAGUCGGUUCCUAUAAAUAUUUAGGUAUAUGGCUAGAUGAAAAAUUAGCAUUUAAUGUUCACAUUGAUCAAUUGCUGAAGAAGCUUAAAUCAAAACUAGGGUUUUUCUAUCGUUUUAAAAAUUGUUUUCCCUAUGAGGCCCGAAAGAAACUGGUUGAGAGUACUUUUUUAACAAUAAUUGACUAUGGUGAUCUUGUUUACAUGCAUGCAGCUUCCUCUGUACUAAGAAAAUUGGACUCUGUCUAUCAUGCAGCGUUACAUUUUGUAUGUGGUGCAGAAUACCGUACGCAUCAUUGUAUUUUGUAUGAAUCUUUAUCAUGGUUCUCCUUGUAUCAUAGGAGAAAUUUACACAUGUAUGUAUUUAUUGCAAAGGCACUCCUUGGUAAAUUACCAUCAUACAUUACAAAAUUUUUAACUUUUUAUACUAAUGGUUAUGGUACCAGAUCGCAGCUGCAUCUUUGUUUAAAAGUCCCAAGAGUAUUCACUGAAUUUGGAAAGCAGGCUUUUUCUUUUUAUGCCCCUAGGGUUUGGAACAACCUACAAAAUGUAUUGAAAUUAGAGUCUUUGCCAUCUUUGAGCACUUUUAAAUUUAUUCUGUAUUCUACAUUUAAAGAGUCUUGUAAAUGUUUUUCUUGAACUUCGAUCUAUUUUUGAUUUGUUGGAUUGUUUGUGUUUUAAUUAUUUAUGUGUCUGAAACUAUAUGUGUGCUGCCGUUUUUGACCAGGUCUCCCUGGAAGAAGAGAUUAUUAUAUCUCAAUGGGAUUUUUUUUCCUGGCUAAAUAAAGGAUAAAUGAAAAAUGAAAUCCUGCCUUGUCUCCAUGGUUCAGGCUGCUGGUGGUAGUGUAUUGUGUGGGGGAUAUUUUAUUGGCACACUUUGGGCCCCUUAGUACCAAUUGAGCAUUGUUUAAAUGCCACAGCCUACCUGAGUAUUGUUGCUGACCAUGUCCAUCCCUUUAUGACUACAGUGUACCCAUCUUCUGAUUGCUACUUCCAGCAGGAUAAUGCACCAUGUCACAAAGCUCAAAUAAUCUCAGACUGGUUUCUUGAACAUGACAAUGAGCUGACUAUACUCAAAUGGCCUCCACAGUCACCAGAUCUCAAUCCAAUAGAGCAGCUUUGGGAUGUGGUGGAACAGAGAUUCGCAUCAUGGAUGUGCAGCCAACAAAUCUGCAGCAACUGUCUAAUGCUAUCAUGUCGAUAUGGACCAAAAUCUUUGAGGAAUGUUUCCAACAACUUGUUGAAUCUAUGCCACGAAUAAUUAAGGCAGUUCUGAAGGCAAAAGGGGGAUUUGUU